UUCUUUGAUGACAUUCUUAUCUACAGCGCCUCUUGGGCAGAGCACCUCCAGCAUGUGGCCAUCGUCUUCAACGAGCUUCGGGCGCAUCAUCUUCAUCUUAAGCGCUCGAAGUGCUCGUUCGGGACGCCGUCGGUCGCUUACCUCGGCCACGUCAUCUCGGCCAAGGGAGUGGCCAUGGAUGCCGACAAGGUCGCGGCCGUCGCCGCCUGGCCGAUUCCGCAGUCUCCGCGUGCUCUUCGCGGGUUUCUUGGCCUCGCGGGGUACUACCGGAAGUUCAUCCGGGAGUUUGGCCUCAUCGCGGCCCCACUCACGCGUCUCCUCCGGCGCGACGCCUUCUCUUGGGACGAGGAGGCCACUUCAGCCUUCGAGGCCCUCAAGGGGGCCCUCA
rnacentral:rRNA from 1 species